rnacentral:rRNA from 1 species
AACGAACGCUGGCGGCAUGCCUAACACAUGCAAGUCGAACGAGACCUUCGGGUCUAGUGGCGCACGGGUGCGUAACGCGUGGGAACCUGCCCUUAGGUUCGGAAUAACUCUCCGACAGGGGUGCUAAUACCGGAUAAUGUCUUCGGACCAAAGAUUUAUCGCCUUUGGAUGGGCCCGCGUUGGAUUAGCUAGUUGGUAGGGUAAAAGCCUACCAAGGCGACGAUCCAUAGCUGGUCUGAGAGGAUGAUCAGCCACACUGGGACUGGGACACGGCCCAGACUCCUACGGGAGGCGGCAGUGGGGGAUAUUGGACAAUGGGCGAAAGCCUGAUCCAGCAAGGCCGCGUAAGUGAUGAAAGCCUUGGGGUUGUAAAGCGCUUUUAACCGGGAUGAUAAUGACGGUACCGGGAGAAUAAGCUCCGGCUAACUACGUG